rnacentral:rRNA from 1 species
UACGGGGGGGGGCAAGCGUUGUUCGGAAUCACUGGGCGUAAAGCGCACGUAGGCGGAUUGUUAAGUCAGGGGUGAAAUCCUGGAGCUCAACUCCAGAACUGCCUUUGAUACUGGCGAUCUUGAGUCCGGGAGAGGUGAGUGGAACUGCGAGUGUAGAGGUGAAAUUCGUAGAUAUUCGCAAGAACACCAGUGGCGAAGGCGGCUCACUGGCCCGGUACUGACGCUGAGGUGCGAAAGCGUGGGGAGCAAACAGG